GACGAACGCUGGCGGCGUGCCUAAUACAUGCAAGUUGAGCGAUGAAGAUUGGUGCUUGCACCAAUUUGAAGAGCAGCGAACGGGUGAGUAACGCGUGGGGAAUCUGCCUUUGAGCGGGGGACAACAUUUGGAAACGAAUGCUAAUACCGCAUAACAACUUUAAACAUAAGUUUUAAGUUUGAAAGAUGCAAUUGCAUCACUCAAAGAUGAUCCCGCGUUGUAUUAGCUAGUUGGUGAGGUAAAGGCUCACCAAGGCGAUGAUACAUAGCCGACCUGAGAGGGUGAUCGGCCACAUUGGGACUGAGACACGGCCCAAACUCCUACGGGAGGCAGCAGUAGGGAAUCUUCGGCAAUGGACGAAAGUCUGACCGAGCAACGCCGCGUGAGUGAAGAAGGUUUUCGGAUCGUAAAACUCUGUUGGUAGAGAAGAACGUUGGUGAGAGUGGAAAGCUCAUCAAGGGACGGGAACUACCCAGAAAGGGACGGCGAACUACGU
rnacentral:rRNA from 1 species